rnacentral:rRNA from 1 species
GACGAACGCUGGCGGCGUGCUUAACACAUGCAAGUCGAACGGAAAGGCCCUGCUUUUGUGUGGUGCUCGAGUGGCGAACGGGUGAGUAACACGUGAGUAACCUGCCCUUGACUUUGGGAUAACUUCAGGAAACUGGGGCUAAUACCUGAUAGGAGCUCCUGCUGCAGGGUGGGGGUUGGAAAGUUUCGGCGGUUGGGGAUGGACUCGCGGCUUAUCAGCUUGUUGGUGGGGUAGUGGCUUACCAAGGCUUUGACGGGUAGCCGGCCUGAGAGGGUGACCGGCCACAUUGGGACUGAGAUACGGCCCAGACUCCUACGGGAGGCAGCAGUGGGGAAUAUUGCACAAUGGGCGGAAGCCUGAUGCAGCAACGCCGCGUGCGGGAUGACGGCCUUCGGGUUGUAAACCGCUUUCGCCUGUGACGAAGCGUGAGUGACGGUAAUGGGUAAAGAAGCACCGGCUAACUACGUG